GAUCAUGAUGGAAAUGAGAUGCCGUGAAAUUUCUGGGCAGAUGAUCUUUCAUAACUCCUCUAAAAUGAACUGAUGCACACAGUUCCUAAAACUCAAAAUGUUAGAUAUAGAGAACUGCUGUUUACGAAAGAACUGGAAACAAUGAGUAUUGAUUGCUAUCGUAUCAGAGGGAUGAAAUUUCUAAGCACCAAAACUACAAUUCCAAGUCAGCCUCCACCCCCAGUAAAAUAUUUCUUUUACCUCUAUCAUUCAAGAAGACCCUCAUAGAAGUUAUUUAUUGUGUAAGAUGAUACUAUGUCCCCUUAAGCCACAG
rnacentral:lncRNA from 1 species